UUUUAUGGAGAGUUUGAUCCUGGCUCAGAGUGAACGCUGGCGGCGUGCCUAAUACAUGCAAGUCGAACGAUGAAGCUUCUAGCUUGCUAGAGUGCUGAUUAGUGGCGCACGGGUGAGUAACGCAUAGGUCAUGUGCCUCUUAGUUUGGGAUAGCCAUUGGAAACGAUGAUUAAUACCAGAUACUCCCUACGGGGGAAAGAUUUAUCGCUAAGAGAUCAGCCUAUGUCCUAUCAGCUUGUUGGUAAGGUAAUGGCUUACCAAGGCUAUGACGGGUAUCCGGCCUGAGAGGGUGAACGGACACACUGGAACUGAGACACGGUCCAGACUCCUACGGGAGGCAGCAGUAGGGAAUAUUGCUCAAUGGGGGAAACCCUGAAGCAGCAACGCCGCGUGGAGGAUGAAGGUUUUAGGAUUGUAAACUCCUUUUGUUAGAGAAGAUAAUGACGGUAUCUAACGAAUAAGCACCGGCUAACUCCGUGCCAGCAGCCGCGGUAAUACGGAGGGUGCAAGCGUUACUCGGAAUCACUGGGCGUAAAGAGCGCGUAGGCGGGAUAGUCAGUCAGGUGUGAAAUCCUAUGGCUUAACCAUAGAACUGCAUUUGAAACUACUAUUCUAGAGUGUGGGAGAGGUAGGUGGAAUUCUUGGUGUAGGGGUAAAAUCCGUAGAGAUCAAGAGGAAUACUCAUUGCGAAGGCGACCUGCUGGAACAUUACUGACGCUGAUUGCGCGAAAGCGUGGGGAGCAAACAGGAUUAGAUACCCUGGUAGUCCACGCCCUAAACGAUGGAUGCUAGUUGUUGGAGGGCUUAGUCUCUCCAGUAAUGCAGCUAACGCAUUAAGCAUCCCGCCUGGGGAGUACGGUCGCAAGAUUAAAACUCAAAGGAAUAGACGGGGACCCGCACAAGCGGUGGAGCAUGUGGUUUAAUUCGAAGAUACACGAAGAACCUUACCUAGGCUUGACAUUGAGAGAAUCCGCUAGAAAUAGUGGAGUGUCUGGCUUGCCAGACCUUGAAAACAGGUGCUGCACGGCUGUCGUCAGCUCGUGUCGUGAGAUGUUGGGUUAAGUCCCGCAACGAGCGCAACCCCCUUUCUUAGUUGCUAACAGAUUAUGCUGAGAACUCUAAGGAUACUGCCUCCGUAAGGAGGAGGAAGGUGGGGACGACGUCAAGUCAUCAUGGCCCUUACGCCUAGGGCUACACACGUGCUACAAUGGGGUGCACAAAGAGAAGCAAUACUGCGAAGUGGAGCCAAUCUUCAAAACACCUCUCAGUUCGGAUUGUAGGCUGCAACUCGCCUGCAUGAAGCUGGAAUCGCUAGUAAUCGCAAAUCAGCCAUGUUGCGGUGAAUACGUUCCCGGGUCUUGUACUCACCGCCCGUCACACCAUGGGAGUUGUGUUUGCCUUAAGUCAGGAUGCUAAACUAGCUACUGCCCACGGCACACACAGCGACUGGGGUGAAGUCGUAACAAGGUAACCGUAGGUGAACCUGCGGUUGGAUCACCUCCUUUCUAGA
rnacentral:rRNA from 1 species